AUUUGGGUCAUUACUGUCUACACAUUAAAUAGGUAUAUGAGUCAUUUAUGUCUUAUUUUAAAAGCAGAAAAAAUAAAAGAGCUCGAAAGCUCUUUUUUAUAAUCUACUUUGUAUUAAUA
rnacentral:misc_RNA from 1 species